rnacentral:rRNA from 1 species
GACGAACGCUGGCGGCGUGCUUAACACAUGCAAGUCGAACGGAAAGGCCUGCUUUCCCUUGUGGAUUGCGGGUACUCGAGUGGCGAACGGGUGAGUAACACGUGAGUGAUCUGCCCCCAACUUGGGUAUAAGCCUGGGAAACUGGGUCUAAUUCCCGAUAGGACUGCAGGGUGGUGCCUGUGGUGGAAAACGAUUUUCUAGUGGUUGGGGAUGAGCUCGCGGCCUAUCAGCUUGUUGGUGGGGUAAUGGCCUACCAAGGCGGCGACGGGUAGCCGGCCUGAGAGGGUGGACGGCCACAUUGGGACUGGGAUACGGCCCAGACUCCUACGGGAGGCAGCAGUGGGGAAUAUUGCACAAUGGGCGGAAGCCUGAUGCAGCGACGCCGCGUGGGGGAUGACGGCCUUCGGGUUGUAAACUCCUUUCGACCGCGAGGAAGCCACCUGGUUGGAAGGGUGGUGACGGUAGUGGUAGAGGAAGCACCGGCUAGCUACGUG